rnacentral:rRNA from 1 species
GUGGGGAAUUUUGGACAAUGGGGGCAACCCUGAUCCAGCCAUUCCGCGUGAGUGAAGAAGGCCUUCGGGUUGUAAAGCUCUUUUGUCCGGAGCGAAACGGAUGCGGUGAAUAUCCGCGUCUACUGACGGUACCGGAAGAAUAAGCACCGGCUAACUACGUGCCAGCAGCCGCGGUAAUACGUAGGGUGCGAGCGUUAAUCGGAAUUACUGGGCGUAAAGCGUGCGCAGGCGGGCUUUUAAGCCAGACGUGAAAUCCCCGGGCUUAACCUGGGAAUGGCGUUUGGGACUGGAAGUCUGGAGUGCGGCAGAGGAGACUGGAAUUCCUGGUGUAGCAGUGAAAUGCGUAGAUAUCAGGAGGAACACCGAUGGCGAAGGCAGGUCUCUGGGCUGACACUGACGCUCAUGCACGAAAGCGUGGGGAGCAAACAGGAUUAGAAACCCCGGUAGUCC